CCUACGGGAGGCAUCAGUGGGGAAUAUUGGGCAAUGGAGGAAACUCUGACCCAGCGACGCCGCGUGCGGGAUGAAGGCCUUCGGGUUGUAAACCGCUUUCAGUAGGGAAGAAGCGAAAGUGACGGUACCUACAGAAGAAGCACCGGCUAACUAUGUGCCAGCAGCCGCGGUAAUACAUAGGGUGCAAGCGUUGUCCGGAAUUAUUGGGCGUAAAGAGCUCGUAGGUGGUUCGUCACGUCGGAUGUGAAAAUCUGGGGCUCAACCCCAGACCUGCAUUCGAUACGGGCGAUCUAGAGUGUGGUAGGGGAGACUGGAAUUCCUGGUGUAGCGGUGGAAUGCGCAGAUAUCAGGAGGAACACCAAUGGCGAAGGCAGGUCUCUGGGCCAUUACUGACACUGAGGAGCGAAAGCGUGGGGAGCGAACAGGAUUAGAUACCCUGGUAGUCCACGCCGUAAACGGUGGGCACUAGUUGUGGGAACCUUCCACGGUUUCUGCGACGCAGCUACGCAUAGUAGCCCGCCGUCGGGAGGUACGAGCGCAGAAUAAACUAACAAAGAAGUAGAGGCGUGAGACGNGCCGACGGACGACGACGAGGGAGGUAGG
rnacentral:rRNA from 1 species